AGGAUUCUCUCUGUUUCAUUGAGAUUUUCGCGCACAAGGAUGACACUAGCAAAGAGCUGCUGGAGUGGGGAUCUCGAGUUUCAGCCGCAAACAGCAGACCUCCAAACCCCCAGUAAUUGAGCUAAUGCUAUAGCAUUUCUGCGAUUGGUAAAUAGGAGGAAUUGAAGCCACAGUAACACGAGCCUAGACAUCACUUUCUACAUUAUAACUAGAAAUAAGAGGAAAGAUGGGAUUCCUUUCUUUGUAUGAAAUUGUUACUAGUCCUGUCACUGCUUUCAGCUUCCGAUUCUAAACCAUCCAUAAUGAGGUUUAAACUCUAUAGCACUCUGUCAAUUAUAGAAAGGAGUUGGAUAUGUGAUGUGAAUUAAUUUAGUUGUCUUGUUGAUGAGAUUGUUUAUAUAUGUAUGGCAAAGAGCAAUAUAGAGUUGAUCUCAGUUUUAUGAUUAGCUUCUGCAAUUCAGUUUUUAUGUUCUGGUCUAUUUACAGAGCUCAUAGAACCUCUCCAGAUUCUGUUCCAUUAAUUAAAUACUAACUCAUCUUUCUCAAGACCAUAAGUUCCGAUACAGCCCCCUCAACACUGGAGAUAGUUACUCAGCUCCCUGAUGUUUUGAGAGCUCCAAGUGACACUUUAUAGGUACGUUGACAUAGAAAUAAGAACAUGCAUGCCUUGUAGCAAGAAAAUAAGAGAUGAGACAGAAGCGUGCGUCCUUCGGCAUAGGAUCUCUCUCCUCCACCCCUUUUCUGCCUUCUUUGUGCCUCGUAAUGCUAAGAACAUUAUGAGUUUGAUUCUGUAUAGAAAGGUUUUGAUUUUCUAGAGCCAUUGGGAGGAAAUACAAAUGAAUGAGGUGGAUACAACUGCAUUUUACAAAGAAGAUUAUAAUAUUCGGUGAUGAAACAGUGUUGCCGUUUAUGGGGAGGAGGUUAUUGUAGUUCCAAUUCAUCCCACGAUGGUGCUCCAUCCUGUAGUGAUUGUGGUUUUCACUUUGGAUUUAAUGGACUUUCAGACAAUUCGUGUGUAGCUUGUUAAGACCUUGGACCAUGAUGCUUGGUAUUUGAAUUGAGUUCGCGGCCCUAUUCAGCUAUUCUUUUUAGGUUCUUGGCCAUUUUCUUAUUACCCAUCCGGAAGCUGACUCCAAAGAUUUGGUAACUUGUUUUUAUUUAAAUAAAAUUUGGAAAAUUGGUUGCACCCGUGGAGACAAUAUCAAAAGCUGACACGAACUUUAUUCGCGGGCGUGAGGGAAAAUGUUUGCAUUAGCUGACGUGCUCAAGCUCAAGCUCAAGCUCAUGCUCUAAAGCAUACAGAGUGGCAGCGACCUCUCCAACCAAAACCACAAAUUUUAAAACUUUUGCUUUUAGAGAUUCCUCACUGUGAACUAGUCUUCUCUUCUACCACUGUCUUCCUUUCCCAUUCCUUCUCUUUUUGCAAAAUGAAGGCUGCAGUGUUAAGAUCUUCUCGGGCAGCAUUAAGGCCAUGAACAUCCAGGCACCUUGUUGGCCGAUCAUACUCAUCAACAGAGUCUAGCCCAGAACGCAAAGUGGCAAUACUUGGUGCAGGAGGUGGCAUAGGGCAGCCGUUGGCUUUGCUUAUGAAGUUAAACCCACUAAUCUCAUCCCUCUCCCUCUAUGACAUAGCCAACACUCCUGGAGUUGCUGCUGAUGUUAGCCACAUCAAUUCUCAUGCUCAAGUCCAUAACUCUUGCUAGCUAUAUGCUUAUAUAUCAACUAAUGGGUCUGUUUGAAGUCUUCAUGUUGCACAACCAGGGAAAACAAAUGCAAAGUAUUAGAUUCAAGGUUUCCUUCCAUUUUUAUUUUUCAUUUCUUUUGUUUCUUUGGAAAUUAAAAAAUCCUAUGUUGCUUCCACCCUUCAUUUUGCCUUAUAGUAGCCGUGUCCCACACUAGACACUUGAACAAAGGAAUGGAAAACAAUCAAAAUACAUGGAAAAAUGAAAGAGGUUCUUAAGAGAAUAGCCGAGUCCAACAUAAGUAUGCAUGUCGGACACGCACCUAUGUCGGAUAUGUAUCCCGAGUCCGAGCAACAUAGAAAACAUCUGUGAAGUGAAUCAAGUUAGUUACAUUGCUUAGUGGUUUAUUUUCUCUUGCCUUCCUUUCAUCAGCUAGAUUGUUGUUAAUUUUGAUUUCAUUGAUGGGAUUAGGCUCUGGUUAAUAUGGUAAGCAAUCCAGUGAAUUCUACUGUCCCGAUAGCUGCUGAAGUUUUCAAGAAGGCAGGGACAUUUGACGAGAGGAAGCUGUUCGGUGUGACAACGCUUGAUGUAGUCAGAGCUAAAACUUUCUAUGCUGGGAAGGUUAAAGCUCCCGUGGCUGGUAUAUCUAUUUUCUUGCUUCAGGUUGCUUUCAUGUUUCUGUUCACCUUUUAAGGAAAUGUAUGCCUGAGUUUUCUAUUGCGUCUUCCUGUUGCAGAGGUUAAUGUGCCAGUAGUUGGCGGGCAUGCUGGCAUAACCAUCCUCCCUCUUUUCUCUCAGGUCUAUCCCGCAUCGUUCGAUCCAAUCAUUCAGAAUUAAAAGUAACGUGUCUAAAAGUUGCUGUCGAAAUCUCAGCUUGAACCAAUGGUUAACGAGCUGGAAAACAAAAAAUGAAGACAUACGGUUCAGCUGCCUCAACUUCCUUUCUCCCAUGCUCUCUGUUAUCUUUGCUCUAAUAAAUUCACUGUAGCCGCUACAAUAAACAUUAGGUUUUUAAUUCCAAGAGGCAGCCACGCUAUCUCUUGAUUGACAAUUAAUGUGGUGGUCUCCUCAUUACAUGGUGCAGGAUCACAUACAACAAAUCUUCUCCUCACGCACCAUGUGAGGAAUUCGUCAUACUAAUGAUCAGCUUGUAAACUUCAAUGAAGGAGGCUCUACCAAGCCUACUUCCCUUUUCAGAAAACUCAAACUUCUCUCUCGGUAAAGGCUUGGUCAUCAUAUUUGACACAUUGUUAUCAGUAUGGAUCUUAGAAACAACAGAUGAUUUCAUCUCCAUAGCAUCUUGAAUCCAUUGAUAUCUAACUUCAAUGUGCUUUGAUCGAGAGUGAAAAGUAGGAUACUUACUGAGAUGGAUUGCAUUUUGACUGUCACAGUGCAACACAAAGUUAUCUUGAACUAGACCAAGUUCAUGUCAGAACUUCUUCAUCCAUAACAAAUCUUUGCCCCUGUUAUUACUCAUUUUUGGACCCCACGUGGUGAAGAUGGUGUGUACCCUUUUUGAACCAAGUGAGGAGUGUAGUUCAUGUCUGCUGGAAAAUUGACAAAAACAGAGGAGAAAGAAAUAUUUUUCGAACCCUGUUUGAGCUAUUUUCUACUCAUUUUAUCCUCCCCUUUGCUACCAAAAGCGCCAGGUUUCUUAGGCUAAUAAGGAGUCUUUAUAUAAAUCCCUUGGAAUUAGCAUUAAAAAAAAACUGAUUUUGCAGUUGUCGCAAUUUUUGUUCCAACUUAGGCUCUGAUUCUGACUUGGUUUUGUAGUAUAUCUGACCAUCCUAGCUAUAUUUUAUUACUCUUGACAUGUUGAAGAAUUGACCUACACCUUUAUUGGGUCCUAGGGGUCACUGUUCUUAGGGCAGACUCUAUGUCAUAUUUGGAUGCUCAACAUUAUCAGAUCUAGAAAACCUUUUUGACCAACUAGAUUCCUGCCGGAUUCUAUUAUCUAAAAUGAUUUUAUUUCACUUCGAAUCCUUCAUCAAAGUUGUAUUCUAGGACAUGUAGAUGAAUUUUAUUUUUUGAAUCGUUUGGUUUCAAUAAUAGAAGCUCAAGAUAUUUUCUUUUGAAAUCUAGCGUGAAAGCAAAGAAUCUUGUCGCAAGAAGGUUUCCAGCCGAGUUUGGUUGCUAUUAUGUUCUUCAAAAAGAAGUUAUCUCACUUUGAACCCUCAUGAAAGUUGUAGACUUAUACACGUAGAUGAAUUUGGGUUUUUGAAUCUCCUAAUUUCGAUAUCAGAAGCUCAAGAUAAUCCUAUGUAAAUAUCUAAUGAGAAAGUAGAGAAUUCUGCCGCGAUAAGGAUCCUGACCCGAGUUUUACACUAAAGACUCUAUUUCCAUCACAAAUUUUAUUGUUUGGUGUUCUUAGGUCAUACUCUCAAUCAUAUCAGGAUGCUCGAUGUUGUCAGUUUCCGAAUCAGAUCAAGAGACCCUUUUGAUUAACCAAGUUGCGGCCAGAUUCUGCUCUUCAAAACGAAUUUAUCUCAUUUUUUAUCCUACAUGAAAGUUGUAGCUCUACAAGUUUAGAUGAAUUUGGGGUUUUUAAUCGCUUGAUUUCGAUAUCAAAAGCUCAUGAUAUGUUCAUUUGAAUAUCUAACAUGAAAGUAGAGAUUUCUACAGUGAGAAGGAUUCUGACCCGAGUUUUGCACUAAAGACUCUGCUUCCAUCACAAUUUUUCUUGGUCAUUGUUCUUAAGUCAUAUUCCCAGUCAUAUCAGAAUGCUCGGCAUUAUCAGUUUUUGAAUUAGAUCAAGCGACCCUUUUUGACCAACCAGAUUACUGCCAGCAUCUGUUUUUAAAACGAUUUUAUCUCACUUCGAAUCUUUCAUCAAAGUUGUACUCCUAGACGUAUAGAUGAAUUUGGGCUUUUGAAUCGUGAUAAAAUAAGGAUUUAAUUGAAGAAGGAUAUUGAAUGCUGGAUAGGGGGGCUGGAUAAUUAUAAAUGACGGGAUUUCUACCACAUCGAAUAAGGAAAAUAAGACUUUGCAGCAUGCACCCUUACCCAUAUGAUUUCUUUCCUGUUUCUUUGCAAAUUUCCUGUUGGUUUCCAUGUUUCUCUUGCUGGAUUGGAGAGCUGUAGACCAUGUUUUUAUUGCCUCAUUUCAAAGGAAACAGUUGGUGCCUCAUGGUCCCAGCUGUGGAAGGAAAGAAAGGAUUUGUACCACCCUUUGAUCAAUGGAAACUAAUUGCUGAAAUCAGAAUAGGAAUCAUAAUAUUUCAAUUUCCUUUUUGUGUUUUUUCUACUACAAAUCAGCAGGGAUUUACAUCCUAGAAUUAAUGCAUUGAAUCUUUCCUAAAUAUAGAUAUAUUAGACUAUAUAAGCCCCUCUAAUGACCUAGUGGAGGGAGGAAGAAAGAGUAGGAAAAACAGAAAAAGAAAGAUAAGAAAAAAACGCAUGAGAGGAUAGUGUAGAUAACAAGAGAAACGAAAAGAAAAAAAAGGGAGACGGAGGCAAAACAAGGAGAAAGAAAGGAGGCUUUUCUUUGAUACUAAAAUGCCUUCACUGGAACGUGAGAGGGAAAAAAAAGGAGGACGAAAAAAAGAGAGAAAGAGGACAGAAAAGAGGAGAAAGGAAGGAAGAGUAACGAGAGAGAGCGCCGACAACAACAUUGUUGAAAGCAGAAAAAAAAAAAACAAACAAACAUAGAGGUAAGGGCGUGAACUCAACCAACAUAACACGUUCUCAUCGCCAUCUCCCUUAUCAUCUCCACCGAGAGGCAGGCAAUAGGAGAAGGAAAAGAGGGAGCAGCAGAAAAAUGAAAAGAGAACAGAGGGAGCAGCAGAUAAAACGCAGAGAAUAGAAUGAGUUUUUGUUUGUUACUGUGAAAAGAAAAGAAAAAAGGAAAAAUAAAGCAGAACAGAGAAGGAGGGAAAGAGAAGAGAAGAAAACAGGAAGAAGCAAGGAAAAGAGGCCAAAACCAGCAUGGCCAUUGUUUUUUUCCUCCAGAAUCAGUAGCCAGCGGCCGGGUGCAGCAACCGUAGUGCCACCUCCUUCGCCUGUUUCAGCGCCAGGUAAGUCAAUGCAUUCUCUUCGCUUUGCAUUUUAAUUAUAUAUGUUACUAUGCAUCCUUUUUUGGUUAAUGUUCAAGUGAAUUAUAAUUCACUUGAACAGUUGUUGAAGUUUUGUGUCCAACCGAGUCCCUUGCUAAGGCAAGUGACCUGGCCGGACCUCCUAUUUCCUUUUUUUUUUCCAAAAAAAAUAAAAGAAAGAAAAGGAGAUUUAUGAUUUUCUGCAAUAUUUAUUUCAAGGUCUGAAUUUUUUUUAUGUUGUAAAAAAAAAAUUAAUCUUGUAUUUAGAAUACCCGGUUUUGCGACGCAAUGUGACAAAUAUAUAUAUAUAUCAAAAAAAAUAUUUUCUUGUGUGUUACAUACAGCUAAUACCCUAACAUGUUUUGAACGCUCUUUUUUAUGCAAAAAAUAUUGGAAGUUUCGAAAAUGUGUUUUCACAUGGAUUUCUUAAACACAACAAAAAUUAUUUUCUUGCAUUUAUGGAUUUUACAAUAUGUUUGUAAAACUCUAAAGGGUAUUGGCCAAUAUUCCAAAAAAAAAUAAAAAAUUUUAUUUUUUGGGUAAUUCAUCUAUUAUUCACCGUUAAUGUUUGGAUAAAGAAAUACCAAAUGGAUGAAUAUCCAAAAUAUUAUUGAGAAUAACUUGUUAUUAUUCACUGUUAAUAUUUGGAUAAAGAAACCCUAAGUGAUAAAUAUCCAAAAUAAUUGUCUAAGAAUAAUAAGUCAUCACACAUCCUUGAAAGAAGCCUUGAUUAUAAUCGAGGACAUUUCAAUUUUUUUCUCCACGGUUUACAAGCCGUGAGAGUAUAAAACACUAAGGCAAAAAUAGGUUUUUAAAGCGCCCUAAAUUUAUAAAUUUUUGUCCCUCCUCCUUGCAAUUUACGAGCCACAAGCUCUUGAAAUACUAAGGGAAAAAUGAGCUUUUAAAGUACAUGGAAUCUCCUUAGAUUUCCAUGUUAAUAAAUUUAGUUUGAAUCAAACCUAGAAAAACUGAUGGUAUUAGAAAACACCAACACCAUAGCAAUUAUAAAGCAAACCAAACAUCGAGCAGCUUACCUUAGGUAGGGCGUAUUAGGGAUACUAAUACCUUCCCUUUACGCAUCUAGUGCCUUGCCUUAGAAUCUCUGAAAGACCAGUUAGGGUUCCUAGUGACCAAAAUACUAGGUGGCGACUCCUUUACACAAAACAAAAAAAACCCUGAAAUCAAUCUAGGGUUGCAGUGACGCCGCACUCAUGAUCCGCCGUGAGGGUGCGACAGUCCCCUUCAAUUGAAUCAUGGCAUACAUCAAGGUACCAACUGCGAAUGCAUAAGGAACCUUUUUCAUCUUAUCUAUUUCUUCAUCAUUUGAAGGACACUGUUUAGAACUUGGUUUAAAUUGGCUUGCAAAUGGAGAACAAACCGGUUUGGAGUUUCUCAUGUUGAAUCUCUCAAGUACCUUUUGAACAUAUCUCUCUUGAGAUAGCCAACAUUUCUCUUUCUUCUGUUACGUGUAAUCUUCAUGCCAAGAAUCUGUUUUGCCGGUCCUAAGUCUUUCAUUGCAAAAGACUUGCUUAACUUUUCUUUCAAAAUCUGAAUCUUCUUAGCAUUAUGGCCAACAAUCAACAUAUCAUCCACAUACAACAAGAGAAUAAUAAAGUUUUCAUUUGGAAACCUUUCAUAAAUACACAAUGAUCAGAAGUGGUCCUAUCAUAACCAUGAUCCACCAUGAAAGAAUCAAACUUCUUGUACCACUGCCUUGGAGCUUGCUUUAACCCAUAUAAACUCUUUUUCAACUUGCAAACUAACUGCUCUUUGCCUUUUGCUUCAAACCCUUCAGGCUGCUCCAUAUAGAUCUCCUCAUCUAAAUCACCAUGGAGAAAGACAGUUUUCACAUCAAGUUGCUCAACUUCAAGAUUCAAACUAGCAACUAAACCAAACACAACUCGGAUUGAAGACAUCUUGACCAUUGGUGAAAAAAUUUCUUCAAAAUCAAUACCCUUCUUCUGACCGAAACCUUUCACAACCAAUCUUGCCUUGUACCUUGGAUGCGAGCAAUGUUCAUCAAUUUUCAACCUGAACACCCAUUUGUUUUUAAGUGCUCUCUUACCUUUAGAAAGCUUCACUAACUCAAAAGUAUGGUUUUCAUGCAAGGAUUUCAUCUCUUCUUGCAUUGCUUUCAACCACUCACUUUUCUUCUUAUGUGACAUAGCCUCAUUGAAGCAUUCUAGCUCUCCCCAGUCAGUAACCAGCACAUACUCAUGAGGAGAGUAUUUGGUGGAUGGUUGGUGAGGUCUAAUUGACCUUCUGAAUUGUGGCUUAUCUGGAGCUUCUUGCAUAACUUGUUCAUAAAUAACAUCAAUAUCAUCAUUAGCUGAUUCAAUAUCACCAACUAACGGCUCAAUAAGAAAACCACCAUUAUCAUCAUUUUGCAAAUCUCCCCCAUGAUUAGUAGGCAUCAAAGGUAACUACGGAGUAGGUCUUGGAUUCAGAUUAGAUGGAAUAAAAAUAGUAGAAUUUGUUUUCUCCUUCUAUUUAAAGUCUUCAAUGGUUUGAUCUUCAAAGAAGAUAACAUCUUUGCUUCUAACAAUUUUCUUCUCCUUUGGAUCCCACAACCUAUAGCCAAACUCAUCAUCUUCAGGACCCAAGAAAAUACACUGCUUUGUCUUGAUGUCAAGCUUAGACCUUUCAUCCAUUGGAACAUGUACAAAUGCUCUACAUCCAAACACUCUCAAGUAUGCAUAAGAAACAUCAUUUCCUUUCCAUACUCUAUCUGGAACAUCAACUUUAAGAGGAAUUGAUGGAGAAAGGUUGAUCAUGGCAACUACAAUCUUUUUUUACCUCACCUCAAAAGGACUUAGACAGCUUUGCAUGAGAAAGCAUACAUCUAAUUCUUUCAACAAUGGUUCUAUUCAUUCUCUCAGCCACUCCAUUCUGAUGUGGAGUUUUAGGAACUGUCUUCUCCAACUUGAUACCAUGUUCCCUACAAUACUUCUCAAAAGAACCUCUUUAUUCACCACCAUUAUUAGCUCGAAUACAUUUCAGCUUUCUACCAGUUUCUCUUUCAACUCUGGCAUGUAAAUCCUUAAAGACAUCAAGCACAUUAUCUUUGGAUUUCAAACAAAUAGCCCAAAUUUUCUUAGAGUGAUCAUCAAUAAAACUAAGAAAUAAAAAAAAAAUUAAUUUGUUUUCAAAUAAAAACUUAUUUUAAAAAACACAUUCCAUUAUAAUAUCAACUAUCCUCUAAGCUAAUUGAAUUUAAUUAUAACGGGAUUUGAUAGAGAUAAAUAACAAAUUUAAUAUGGUUUCACUAGUAUAGUAUAAGUGCAAGUGAGUGGUAAUCUAACUUGGCCCUGAUUUAGUUUUUUAACUUUUUUUAUGAGUUAUAAUUUUUUUUUAAUUUACAAAAAAAUGGAAAUGCUUUACUGUCUUUAUAUACCACGUCGUUUCAAUUAGAGGGACCCAGGUAAGAAUGGCUGGAUGUGAAGAAUCAUAUUUGUGGCUUAGAAAAGGCUGGUUAGUGGUCAUCGAUCGAAAAUGAUGGCAUUUUCAAAAAAAAAAGUAAAGUGAUCAUUUUGGUCAAUAAAGUUGACAAUUUAAAUUUAGUGCUUGUCACGUUUGAACUAAGAAAUAAGAAAAAAUCAAUUGUUGUCGACUUUAAUUAUUAAUUUAGACGUGAUAUGUUUUUUUGCUUUUGUAUUAUGGAACCAAAUUAUUAACACUUUCAGUUUGUAUUGAGCCUUUGAGCUUAUGUGAAGUUUCUGAUAUCUUUUUAGAACUUGUUUUGUUUAGUAAUGUGAUUAGCGUUAUAUUUUUAAAAUUUAAAAAAAAGUUUUUUUUUUUAUGUUUUUGGAUUUUUUAAUGUAUUGAUGUAAAAAAAAUAAAAAAUAUAUUAUUUAGAUAAAUUUCUGAACUAAAACACUUUCAAAAAAUAAUAAAUAUCACUAUAUUAAACACGUUCUUCGCUCUUCGUAGUUGAGUGGAUCACCUCCCAGCCUGAUAGGUGAGUUAUGGUUGAUACAUCAUAUCAAGUCCAUCAGAAUGAUUUAAAGUGGUAUUUGAUAUUGUAGUUCAAUUAUAUUUUUUAAAUUUUUUAUUUUUUUAUUUUAAAUUUUUUUUUGUUUUUACAUCAUUUAACAUGCUAAUAUAAAAACAAAAUUAAAAUUUUCAAAAAAUUAUUUUAAUAUAUUUUUAAAAAAACUAUUUUAAAAAAUAACACAUAUUCUUCUAUCAGACCCUUUUUCUUCUAUUUAUUUUCUAAUUUUCUUUUCCAUUUAAAUUAAAACACAAAAUACCCUUUAUAUCCCCAAUCAAUUUUAGAACACCAAAAUUGUUCUAAUAUAAAAGCUAUUUUACUCUUAAAUAUUUGUUUAAGAGUUUUUUUUUCAAGGUUAAAAAGUAAAAAUUACUUUUUCUAUCCACGGUAAAUUAUGUCUAGAAAAAGUAUGUUUUCUCCGUCUCUUUUAGUUUUUUUUUUUAAAGAAAAUUCAGCAUUACAGGUUGCUACAUCUUCAUUCAACAAACCAACGUAUUCUAAUUCAAAAAGCUAAGGUUCCCAAGUGCAGAGAUAAUUAGAUAAUUAAAGAGAAGACAUAAAAUAUAAGCAAUAUCUCUAUCUCUAUCUCUAUCUCUAUGUAUAUCAGUUUUAGAGCUAAAAUUAUUAUGAUUUUUUAAUUAAAAAUAUGUUUACUAGAAUCCUUAUACUAAACAAAUCCAAACAAAUACGUGUAAAGCUUAUCAAUUAAAUAAAUAUUAUAACAUAAAUAAUUAUGCCAUAAAAAAAAAAAUAGAGAGCUACGUCAUAAGGGGACAGUGAACAGCGAGAAGUAUGGUCUUUGUCGCGUGAAAAAUGAUGUUAGUACUUAGUACUUCAAUCAAUCAAAUUCUCACCUAAUUUAUGCUGGUGUCCUUAUUCUUCCUCAAGAAAAAGAGAAACAGUGUCACCAAACGAUGAAAAUAAAUUUCUUGUGAAGUUCUCUUUCUCAAACAUCUUAUCUUAUCCACCGUCCCAUGUACAAUUGGAUGCUGCACAUCAAUCUUUAGCUUUGGCGAUUCACUUGCCGAUACUGGAAACUCAAGGAACUUGUCACCGCCGGAUAAUCUUCCCCACUUUACGUUUCUUCCUUAUGGAGAAACCUUUUUUCACCACCCAACCGGACGAUGCUCCGAUCGUCGUCUCGUCAUAGAUUUUAUUGGUACACUCACAGAGGUAAUUACAUGGAUGUAUGUUUUUUAUUUUAUUUUUUAAAAACAAUUCACUUUUUUAGUUGUUGUGUUUCUUCACGUAGCUGAAUAUCUUGGUCUACCAUUUGUGCAACUAUAUUUUGGAGGAAGCAUGGAAAGUUUCAAAGAGGCCGGUGUCAAUUUUGCUGAACUAAAAUAUUAUUUAGAUAGAUUUUUGAAUUAAAAACAUUUUAAAAAAUAACAAAUAUCAUUAUAUUAAACACGUUGUUUAUAGUUGAGUGGAUCCUCUCCUAGCUUGAUAGGUGAGUUAUAUUUGAUAUAUUAUAUCAAUUGUUCACUAUGAUAUUUAAAGUGGUGUUUGAAAUUAUAAUUCAAUUGUAUUUUUGAAAUUUUUAUUUUUUAAAUUUUAAAUUAAUUUUUUUAUACUUUUAAAUCAUUUAACAUGAUAAUAUAAAAAUAAUUAAAAAAUUUCUUUAAAAAAAUUAUUUUAAUAUAUUUUCAAAACAACUAUGUCGAUACACGACGUUGGGCGACGACUUUGUUUUUUUUUUUAUCAAAAAGAUUUUUUUUUAUUGGGGAGAAAUAAAUAUUUUAUUGGAGUCGCCAUCUAGUAAUAUGAGAGAACUAGAAAUCCCAAAUUAGACACUGAUCCCAGAGAUUCGGAUAUUGGGUUAGUUAUGAUUAAGGAAAGGUAGACACCACCCUUAAAACAUCCUUUCAAGAGAAAGGUUACUCUUACUUGUGUGUUUUUAUAUUUGAUUCAAAUGCUAUUAUAUUUUGAGCUUAUUUGUAUUUUUUUAAAUAGUUAAUGUCGGUCCCUAAAAAUAAAAGACACGUUAAAAUGACAUCAGUCUCUAAAAAUAGGAUACUCGUCUAAAAUAUCGACGUUUAACCCUAAAAAGGAGAUUUACGUCUGAGUUAAAAAAAAAAUCCUGGACAUAAUCCAUAUUUGUUUGGUAUUUAAGCUUUUUUUUUUUUGACAUCGGUCCUUUUCUAUAAAAAGAGACGUGUCGACAAACAAUAUUUAUUAUAAAAACAAAUAUUUUGAUGUCAUUAAAAAAUAGAUAUAACUAUUCUUGAGAAGUUGGGCUUUGCACCCACGAUUGAUAAUAUGAUAUAAUGGGUGUUGGCCCGCGUCGUUUUUAUAUUUAUUGUUUGUUUUUUUACAUGCAAGAAAAUUUAUAUACAAGAUAAAAAAAUGUUAGAAAUCUAAAAAAAAUUACCUGAGUGCCACUGCAUCGGUAAAAGACUGAAAUACCCUCGGAUUUCUGGAAAAAUUACAAAAAUGCCACUGCGCGUUUACUGUUGACGGCGGCGAAUUUUUUCGGCGAUAUUUCUGGCCAACCGAUGGUCGAUCCUGGUAGAUCUGAGGUCGAGGAUUCUGAUGGUGGUGGUCUUGACGACUUGAAGCUUCGGUGGGCGGCAACGAUCGCGGCCUUUUUCCGGCCAGAUGAGGCGGCAAAAACGAUGAAAACCACCGGGGUUUUUCUUUACAGCAAGGGAGAAACCUUUCUGUGGUGGUUCGGAGGCUGGAGACGGCCGUAAAGUGGAGAUCGAAUGAGAGAGUGGGAGUCGCCGGCGAGAGGAGAGAGAGAGUCCGAGAUUACUGUGCGCCGUUGGAUCUUAGAUGAAACGAUCUGGCGGUUGUGAUUGGCUAGAUCUGCAGGUUGAUCGGAUGGUCCGGAUGAGCUGAGCUUUGAUCUGGUGUGGCGCGGUACACCUCAAGAUCGGUACACCGGAUGACGUGGCGCAACGGGAUCAAAUCUUGUAUUAUUUCAAUGGCAAGAUGUGUUGGGAUAUGUUUGGUAUUUUUCAAAUUGUUUUUUUAAAAAAACAAUAUCCUACUCUCGUGAAGAAAAACUAGAAAAAAUAUUAAAUAAUCCACUCAUUUCUUUCAUUUACCUCUGCUCUCGUGGCAAUGAGGAGGGGAAAACUCAUUUAAUUCAGAAGAAAUAAUGCAUAGUCGGCAACUAACUUAUCUACCAUAAUAAAUUUUGAAUUAUUAAUUUUGUUUUAUUAUAUAUAAUAAUAAAUACUUACGUAGGUAAGACUAAAAAACUUAAAUCAGUAUUAGAAAAGGCCCGUUUCAACCGCAAAAAAAAAUGAAACAUAAAAAAAAUAUUUGAUGGGUAUCAACCCGGUGAACCGGGUUUUGACCCAAAAAUAAUGGUUUGACCCGAAAAUGAUGGUUUUGACCCGAAACAUCAUGAAAACUCAUUUUUUACCAUAGUCGACAUAGUUUGACCCGUAUUGACCCGGUGGACUCGGUUUUGAUAAAAAAUGACGGUUUUGACUGGAAAUUACGGUUUUGACCCGAAACGUCAUGAAAACUCAUUUUUACUCUGGUCGACAUGGUUUGACCCGUACUGACCCGGUGGACUCGGUUUUAGUCAAGAAUGACGGUUUUGACCGAAAAUGACGGUUUUGACACGAAACGUCAUGAAAACUCAUUUUUUACUCUAGUCGACAUGGUUUGACCCGUACUGACCCGAUGGAUUCGGUUGUGGUAAAAAAUGACGGUUUUGACCCGAAACGUCAUGAAAACUCAUUUUUUAUCCUGGUCGACAUGGUUUGACCCGUACUGACCCGGUGGACUCGGUUUUGGUAAAAAAUGACGGUUUUGACAAAAAAUGACGGUUUUGACCCGAAACGUCAUGAAAACUCAUUUUUUUACCCUGGUUGACAUGGUUUGAGCCGUAUUGACCCGGUGAAAUCGGUUUUUAUGAAAAAUAACGGUUUUGUCCGAAAAUGACGGUUUUGACCCGAAACGGCAUGAAACUCAUUUUUUACCCUGGUCGACAUGGUUGGAUCCAUAUUAACCCGGUGGAUUCGGUUUUUAUGAAAAGAUACGGUUGACUCGGGAAAAAUAUAUUUUUGAAUUUUAAAAUUUUUCUUAAUGUUUUUGUAUUUUAUGAAUAAUAAUAGAAAUAAAAUAACAUUCAACAAAAUCUUAGUGAAUCCAAAUUUUGGGUUACAACAAACUAUUUUAAAAAAUAACACAUAUUCUUCUAUCAGACCCAUUUUCUUCUAUUUAUUUUCUAAUUUGCGUUUCCAUUUAAGUUUAUAUCCUUUCCUUUGUAACCUGAAGGAUUUCAUCUCGGGAUUUUAAAUAAUUUUAAACAGAAAAGUAAGUUUGGAUACCAACCAAUUCAUUCAAUACUUAUAUUUAUCAAAACAUUGUGAGUUUAGGAUUAGCCGGAUUGCGAGGAGAGUCAAUAGAAUGAGUGGAGAAGCUACGAUAGUCCUAGUUUAAUAAUUAUAUUUAUCAAAAAUUAUGAGUUUACUAAUUUUACUGUUUAGAAUAAUUUUAAUUUGAUUUUAUCAGUUUUUUAGUUUUAAAAUAACUUUGUAUAAUAAGUAUUUUUUGACUUGAAAAAUCAUCGUGAUUUUAACAAUAUUACUUGUUAUGUAGGAUUUUUUUUUAUUGAGGAAUAUUCUAUUAAAUUUAUUUCAAAUCAUUAUAAUUAUUUAAAAGAUUAUCUUUUGAAAUUAUAUUAGUUUUCUAUUGAAUAAACCAUGGUUUUUAUAAAGUAAUAUACUGUUUGGGUAAAAGAAAUUAAAUUAUAUGAAUUACAAAAGCAAGUUUUGAUGAAAAAAAAAAAAAGGAUUUUGGCUCUAUAAAUUUAUUUGAUGUCGUAUCUAUGUAGACAACAUAACGUGUGUUAAUGAACUAGUACUCUCUACAUCCCAUCAAGUCACAAUGAAUAAGCGACCGACAAUUCUGACUCCUGCAAGAAUACAAAAAAACAAAAAAAAUUGAUCGAGGUGUGGCAAACGUGUGUUAAUGAACUAGGACUCUCUCGAUGCCAUCAAGUCCCAUCAAAACUUUUGCACUCAGUUUUCAACUUUUUCUGCUUCAAAAUAAUUAUGCAUCCAGAUGAACAAGAAAAACCAGCUUGUUUAAAAUAAAUGUCAAUAAAAUGGUGUUAGUUUGAUGGUUAAGAUCAUUUUUGUUUAUGAGACGAAAAAAUAUAUAUUUUUUAAUUAUUUUACGUGUAUGAACAGUUAUAUAUGAAUGUGUAUAUUCAAUUUCAUUUUAUGGGCUGUGGCAUAACAAAAUAAAAUAAAAUCUCUUGUCCUUGAAAAAAAAAAAAAAAAGAAUUCAGCUAGCAGCUACAUGUCUCUAAUGAUAUUCUUUUGGGUCCAAGUCUAGAAAAACAAAAUGAAGGCAUGCCCUGCAAUAGCACUGCUAAAUUUUUUGCAAUGUUUUUUUUUUUUUUUUUUUUUAAAUUGUUCACGUUAAUAGUGUGACAGUGAAGCCAUGCUCUACUGUUCACUGAAAAGAGAAGCCAUGCUCCACUGUUUUGCUUUUUCCCCUACGAGUAGCAUAGCAAAUGUUGCUUCUCUAAAACAUGCGGUUCUGCUAAGAUUUGGUGGGUCCGACCAACAGAAAGCAUUUUUUUCUUUUUAACCAAACAAUAUUUGAUGUGGCUGCGGGUGAACCUCACCCGCAGCCACGUUACCAAAUGGACACUAAAUUAAAAAAUCAAGAUAAAAUCCUAAAAGAAAAUGAUCUCUUUCAAGAUACAACUUUAUAUGAAUCACAAAAAGAAUAACUAAACUCCUAAAAGAAUAAAUAGACAAAAGCUAGUACUAGAAUAGUGGAUUUUUCAUAGAGACUGAAACUUUGAAAAGUUUAAUAAAAAGCAUUUAGUGAGCAAUAACAACACAAUAAUGAAAAAUAAAAGCAGAGAAAUGUGAUCCAUGAAAACCCACACUCAAUCUCAUUAUGAACCAUGAAAUAUAUAUAUAUAUAUAUAUAUAUAUUAAAGUUUUGUCGUUUUUAGUACCAUAAUAAUACUAAAAAUAAAACUAAAAUCAUGAAAUUGAGAGGGAAAAGAAAAGUGUAUUUUAGGGCUAUUGUGUUUAGAGAUAUGAGUCGAAGAGUAUACCAACUUUUGUCCUUUCCUUUUGAUAAGAUAUGAUAAGAUAACAAUCAAUCACAGCUGGCAAUAGAGAUAUGGUAGCAGGAUCUCUGUGCUUGAUUACAACAAUAAAAGGAUUCUUGUAUUGCUGUAAUUCUGCAGUUACCUGUAAUAUAGGCAACAAUCACUCAUGUAAUUAUAUAUAUACACACACGCCUAAUAACAGAACCAUAGUGUGGGUUUUCUUUUCUUUGUUUUACAUAUUUCUACAUGGUAUCAGAGCUUGAAAUGGACUCCUCCACCUCCUCCGUUUUACCCAUGUCUUCUGCCCCUGAGUUUUCACUAGCCAAAACUCAUUUACCUGGCAUCUCCAUCAAACUUGCCUCAAAUAAUUAUCUGUUAUGGAAAGCUCAAGUCAUACCAAUUUUGAGAGGCCAUGCUCUUCUUGGUUAUGUAACCAAUGAUAUUUCUUGUCCUGACUCAACCAUUGUUGGAGCAGAUGGCACCUUGCAACUAAAUCCAGCAGCAACUUGGUUGCGUACUGAUCAGUUGAUCCUUGGAUGGAUCAACAACUCUUUGUCAGAUGGUCCUCUUUCUCAAGUCAUUAAUAGUGAAUCAUGUCAUGAUGCUUGGAUUGUUUUAGAGACUCUUUAUGGAAGUCACACCCGAGAUCGUAUACAACAAAAGAAGGGAGAGUUGCAGACUCUAAGCAAAGGUUCUUAUUCUUUGGAAGACUAUCUGCACAGGGUUAAAUCUCUGGCCUUGUCACUUCGUGGUGUAGGCAAACCAAUGUAUGAUGAUGAUCUUAUUGUUUGCAUUUUACGUGGCUUAGGAUCUGAGUUUGAUCCCAUUUUUGCAGCACUUAAUGCUUGUGAUAUGUUUCUUUCUCUUGAAGGCGUGAUUAACGAGUUACAUGAUUUUGAAAUCAGGCUUCAAAAUGCUAAAACUACUUCGUCCAAUGUUGCCUUUUACACAAACAAAAAUCGUUCUCAUACAAAACCUCAUGGAAACUUUAAUAUGUGUGACCGUCCUGGUGGCUAUUCCAAAAUGCAAUUUCAAGGAUGUAACAGAGAUGCUUACAACAUAUGAUCUGGUGAUAAUUCCUCUAGAACAAAAUUGCCUUCAUUCACCAAUACAGGUCGCAGCUCUGGUUGCGAACGAGGAGGUAUCACCUGUUUUCGCUGUGGUGGUCCAAAUCACAAAAUUGAUGGUUGUUUUGCUUCAGAUGAUGAAGCUGCACAGUAUAAAGCUUUUGCUGCCAUUCAAGUAAGAGACAAUACAGAGGAUAGCUGGUAUCCUGAUACCGGUGCCAACAAACAUAUGACAUCAAAUCCCAGUGAGGUGCAAGGUAUUGAUUCCUACUCUGGUACUGAUAAUGUUAUGUUUGGAAUUGGUAAUGGCCUUGCCAUAGUAGGUACAAGACACAUUAAUCUACCUCCCACUACUCUUAAGCUCAAUAAUGUGCUAGUUCUUCCUGAUAUAAAAAAAAAAAAACUAUUGUCUGUAUCUCAAUUUACAUGAGAUAAUAAUUGCAACUUUUUUUUUUAUCCAUAAGGAUUCCUUCUCAAGGACACGAAGAUAUAGCAAGUGAUUCUUAAAGGUUCCAUGGCAGAUGGUUUAUAUCCCAUCAAUAUGCGGUAGCUUUCACAUCAUUCCUUCAAUUUUUUAGCAAAUAAAGUUCUAGGCAGCCUGUGGCAUGCACGCCUUGGCCAUCCUCAUCCUCAAGUUAUUAGCAGACUAUCCCUACCAUCAUUGCAUGGGAAAAUAGAUUUUUGUGAGAGCUAUAUGUUGGGUAAGUCUACAAAGCUGCCUUUUCAUUCUCGACAAUCUUAUUCCACUUCUUUUUUGCAUACAUUACAUACUGAUGUUUGGGGACCUGCAUCAAUCCUCUUUUUUAAUGGUUUUCGAUUUUAUUUGAGUAUUGUUAAUGAAUAUUCUCGUUACAUAUGGUUGUUUCCUAUGGCUCGUAAAUCUGAUGCUGCAACUAUAUUUCCUACAUUCAUUACACAAAUGGCAAAUCAGUUCAAUACAUCUGUAAAAAUUGUUCAAAAUGAUGGUGGUGGUGAAUUCAUCAACACAGUCUUGCAAAUAACUUUGCAACUCAUGGUAUAAUCCAUCGAUUCUCAUGUCCUAGGACACCAAAACAAAAUGGUCUGGCUGAAUGGCGACAUCGUCAUGUUGUUGACACAGGUCGCACUCUAAUGGUCCAUGCUUCUAUUCCAACUAAAUACUGGUCAGCAGCAUUUCGAACUGCUAUGUUUCUUAUCAAUUGCCUUCCAUCUUCAGCUGUUAAGCAUAAGUCUCCUCAUAAGCUUGUAUUUGGGUCUUCCCCUAAUCUUGACUUCUUAUGGGUUUUUGGUUGUUCUUACUACCCUUUACUGUCCUCUUUUGGUUGAUCCAAGUUGGACUACAAAUCAGUCUGCUGUGUUUUUAUUGGUUACUCAGCCAACCACAAGGGAUAUUGUUGCCUUGAACCGCACUAUAGUCGUCUCUUUAUCAAUAGGCAUGUCAAAUUCAAUGAGCUGCACUUUCCCUUCAAAAGUACUACCAUUUCAAAGUCAUCUAAUCCUCGAUUAUUUUAGCUACAAACUCUUCCUAAAUCCCUUGAAAAUCAUGCUUUACCUCGGCCACCGGUCAGUUUGCCAACCAAUGGAGUGUUUGCUACAGAACCUGUAACAUAUCAAUCUUUAGAGUUUCAGCCUGAAGUCCCAAUUCCCCUGCAAUUAGUCUUGCCCUCUUCCCCAACCGAGUCAUCAAGUUUCAUUUUACCAUUAUGUAUUCAUCCUAUGGUUACACGUGCUCAAACAGGAAACCUUAAACCAAAAUCAUUCUUCACAACUAGACAUCCAAUACAUGUAUGUUUUCUUGCUGAUCUUACAGCAUAGCCUUCAGAGCCUUCUUCAUAUCGUCAAGCUCUUCGACUCACUCAUUGGAAGAAGGCUAUGCAAGAUGAAAUGGAUGCCUUGCAUGCCAAUCACAUGUGGACCUUGGUACCCAAGACAUCAUAUAUGAAUUUUGUCAGCAGUAAGUGGAUAUUUAAAGUUAAAACAUAAUCUGAUGGCACAAUUGACAGGUAUAAAGCUAGACUUGUGGCUAAAGGCUUUACUCAACUUCUAGGAUUGGAUUAUGAUGAAACCUUUACUCCUGUUGUUAAACCAUGAACUAUUCGUUUAAUUCUUAGCAUUGGUCUCUCUCAUGGGUGGCUCAUUUGACAGUUAGAUGUCAGCAAUACAUUUCUUCAUGAGUGACUUACAUGAGCGUGUUUAUUUGGCUUAACCACCAGGCUUUGAGGAUCUUGCUCAUCCCCAUCAUGUCUAUCUUCUUCAUAAGGCUCUCUAUGGUUUAAAGCAAGUACCGCGUGCUUGGUAUCUGAAAUUCAGCAACUGCAUACACCAAAUGGGUACAUGAACGUGUUUAUUUGGCUUAACCACCGAGCUUUGAGGAUCUUGCUCAUCCCCAUUAUGUCUAUCUUCUUCAUAAGGCUCUCUAUGGUUUAAAGCAAGUACCGCGUGCUUGGUAUCUGAAAUUCAGCAACUGUAUACACCAAAUGGGCUUCACACGAUGUCCCUAUGAUCAGUCUCUAUUCUAUCAUUAACUAGGUUCAAAUGUUCUUCUUCUACUGAUCUAUGUCGAUGUUAUUCUUCUUAUUGGGUCAUCUCCAUCUCAAACAUCUGCUUUCAUUACUUAUCUUUCAUCUGUGUUUCGCAUGAAAGAUCUUGGCGAUGUCCACUAUUUCCUUGGUCUGCAGAUUACUAAGACUAACACAUCACUCACCAUUACUCAAACAAGGUAUCUAUUGUCCCUUCUACACAAGUUUGGAUUAGCUGGUGCUAAACCAAUUGCCACUCCUAUAGCAUUGGGUAACAUAUAACAUUUUGUAACCCAUUUUUGGGUCCCCAUAAAAAAAUAAUACAUACAAAAAAAAAAAACAAAGAAAGCUCAAAACGGUGCCGUUUUGACCGGCACCAUCAUCUUCUUCCCCUGGACACGCAGCGAAGCACGGGAAGAAGAAUUAUUUGUCUUCUUCUGUUCACUGCCACGUUCGCCUUCAAUAAGACGUCGCCUCCCUUCAAAAAGACGCCGAAAAAGGACACCCACUUGCCCCGCUUUCCAUGUAUUAAGGCAUGUAUUAAGGGAUAGUGGAGGGGCGGCCAACAGUGGUCGCCCCCCAUGUUUUUGCCUAUAAAAACAGGGGAGGGGGAGUAGAAAAGAGAAAAGACAAAGAGAGGGGGAAGAGAAGAGAAGGGAGAGACAGAGAGAAGAAAGCAGAAGAGAAGGGAGAGAGAGCGAAAUAAAAGAAGAAGAAGCAGAGAAGAGAGUAAAACAGAGGAGAGAGAGAGAGGAAAACAGCACCGCCGACCACCGCGAACAGCCAGUUCCGCCGCCGCCACCCCUGCCACAUCAGUUGCUACCAGCAUCACCACUGCUCCAGGUAACUUUCUCCCUUUUCCUGUCGUUUUUUGCUUCAGCUUCAUCUGCAUGCAGAACGUUUACGUUCUGCAGCAGAUGAAGAUUAAUUAGCUAGUUACUGUGCUGUGCACAGUAACUGGCUAAUUAAUUCACGGUUACUGUUCGCACAGUAACCCGGUUACUGUGCACAUGUAACAGCACCGCCGACCACCGCGAACAGCCAGUUCCGCCGCCGCCACCCCUGCCACAUCAGUUGCUGCCAACAUCACCACUGCUCCAGGUAACUUUCUCCCUUUUCCUGUCGUUUUUUGCUUCAGCUUCAUCUGCAUGCAGAACAUUUACGUUCUGCAGCAGAUGAAGAUUAAUUAGCUAGUUACUGUGCUGUGCACAGUAACUGGCUAAUUAAUUCACUGUUACUGUUCGCACAGUAACCCGGUUACUGUGCACAUGUACAGUGCUUGCUAAUUAAUUCUCUGUGUACAGUACCCCGUUUGCUAUGUGUUACUAUGUGACAGUACCCAGCAUGUUUGGGUCAGGUUCGGCCCAACCCAUGUAUUUGGGCCUGACCCGGCCCAUUUCAAAGAAAAAAAAAUCAAAAACAUUUGUUUCAGCAUUUUAUAAUUUUUUCCGCGUAGUUUUUAUGUCAUUUUGAUUAAUAUUGGGUGGUAUUUUAUGUUGUUAAAAAUACAAAAAUCUGAUAUUAAAAUACCCGGUUUUCGUCAAAAACUUCCAAAAAUACAAAAAAAUUGAAAAAGAGAAAAAAAAGUUUUUGUGCAUACGACCAAGUGUCUCAAAGAUAAAAAAUCAUAUUGUAUUUUUCAUACACCAAAAAACAAUGUUUUAGCAUGCAUUUUGGUUUUAAUAACCAGUUUAUUAAAGCCAAGAGGAUAUUGGCCAAAAUUUCAAAAACAACAAAAAUUUUAUUUUGUUUGUCUCUUAGUAUCCUGGGUAUGACAUUACACGUAAUGCAUAUUCCGGAUAUUUAAUUCUUUUUUUUUUCGGACAAUAGAACCUGGGGUAUGACAUUACAUGUAAUGCGUAUUCCGAACAAUAAGAAACCACAACACGACCUUAGAUUUUAUCAGACAUUAAAACAAUGCAGCCUACCUUAGGUAGGGCGUAGUUGGGGUGCUAAUACCUUCCCUCUACGCAACCAGUCUUCGUACCCGAUCUCUAAAGACCAGUUAGGGUUCCUAGUAACCAGAAUACUAGGUGGCGACUCCCAGUCCAUAUUUGCACUUGUAGAGACCAUAAUUCCUUGUCUCUCCCUAUUUAUCAAGAAUAAAUAUUCCGUUUUUUUCAUGAGGGUGGACGAUCGCCGCGCCGCUGCACACGUGACAAACAUCACCUUGUUAUUUGAUCCCAUACCCUUUCAUCAGCUUGUGGGAUCCCUACAAUAUCUCACAUUUACCCCCCCUAACAUCUCUUAUGUUGUUCAUCAUGUUUGUCAAUACAUGCAUGCCCCACGUGAACCUCACCUCAUUGCUGUUAAAUGAAUUUUUCAUUACCUCAAAGGAACUCUCGAUAUUGGUCUUCAUUUUGUUCCUAUGCCCUUAAUUUGUGAUACUGACUAGGCAGGGUGUAAGGAUGAUCGACACUUCACAUCUGGUUUUGCCAUUCAUAUGGGUGCCAACUUGCUGUCAUGGGGUGCCAAAAAGCAGGCCACAGUAUCUCGCUUUACGACAGAAGCAGAAUAUCGUGCUCUAGCUUCUACCACAGCUGAACUUAUGUCUUCCACCUCCAAAGUUGUACUGUGACAAUAUCAAUGCUAUUAUUAUGGCCAAGAAUCCAGUAAUUCAUCAUCGCACAAAACAUAUUGAAAUUGAUGUUCAUUUUGUCAGGGAACGUGUUGCUAGUGGUGCCCUUUUGCUUGAACAUGUUGUUGGCACUGCUCAACUUACAGACAUAUUAACCAAACCACUUUGUUCGGACAAGUUUGUUUCCAAUCAUGCCAAGCUCCUCAUCGGGUCUCAACCGCCUUGAGCUUGAGGGGGGAUGAUAAGAUAUGAUAAGAUAACAAUCAAUUACAGCUGGCAAUAGAGAUAUGGCAGUAGGAUCUCUAUGCUUGAUCACAACAAUAUAAGGAUUUUUGUAUUGCUGUAAUUCUGCAAUUACCUGUAAUAUAGGCAACAAUCACUUAUGUAAUUAAUAUAUAUAUAUAUAUAUACAUAUAUAUAUACACGUCUAAUAACAGAACCACAGUGUGGGAUUUAUUUCCUUUGUUUUGCAUGUUUCUACACCCUUAAGACCAUUAAGACCUAUACUCAAUCUCUAUAUGUCGUUGUGGAGGAGAUGACAACUUGUGGUUCUCAAGUUACUCUGUCACCAGUGUUAGUGGUUAUGGAGUUACGAGAGAUGAAGAUGAGGUGCAUGUUUAGCAUUACAGUUGAACCGUCGUUUCAUCAUUUUAGAUUUUUUUUAUUUAAAUUAAUUUGUUUUGUAUUUUUAGAUCGUUUUAAUGUACAAAUAUAAAAAUAUUUUUUUUAUUUUGAUGUAUUUUUAAGUAAAACAAAUUUAAAACAUAACAUCUACUACAUCCCUAAACAAGCACAAUGUCUGGAUCAUCAGCUAUGAGAAGAUGAAUGAUUAGGUUAUCCGAAUUGUGAGGAAAGUCAAGAGAAUGAGUGGGGAGGUUGUGGUAGUCCUAGUUUAAUACUUAUAUUUAUAAAAAAAAUUAUGAGUUUAGGAUUCGCCAGAUUGUGAGGUGAGUGAGUCAAGAGAAUGAGUGGGGAGGCUGUGGUAGUCCUAGUUUAAUAUUUAUAUUUAUAAACAAUUGUGAGUUUACUAAUUUUACCGUGAUUUAAAUGAGUUAGAAUAAUUUCAAUUUAAUUUUAUGGUUUUUUAGUUUUUAAAAUGACAUUGUAUAAUAAGUAUAUUUUGACUCCCAAAAUCAUCGUGAUUUUAACAAUAUUGCUUGUUAUGUAGAUUUUGUUUCUUUUUUAUUCAUGAAUAUUCUAUUCAAUUUAUUUCAAAUCAUUAUAAUUAUUUAAAAUAUUAUCUUUUGAAAUUAUAUUAGUUUUGUUGAAUAAACCAUGCUUUUUAUAAAAUAAUAUUCUUUUUGGGUAAAAGAAAAUUAUAUGAAUUACAAAUGCAAGUUUUGAUGAAAAAACAAAGAUUUUGGCUCUAUAAAUUUAUUUGAUGUCGUAUCUAUGUAGACAACAUUUGCAUAUUUCUUUUUGCAUUAAGAAAAAGACGAGACACCAGUCAAUAAAUCACCGUCUCUUAUAUUCCUUUCUUUUUAUUUUUCAAUUAUUGUCCUUUUUGUAGUAAAACUAGCGGCGAAAACAAGAAUUACGAGUUCUAAAACCCAGAUCAAAUGCUAGUAUAUGUCUUACUUUCCUCUCAAGCUUCCUCCUCCUCAUCUUGGCCUUGCCAUUUGCCCGUAGCUUUCAAAACCAAGACCAGAAGAACCAGCACUUCAUUUUACGCUAAAACCCCACCUUUCAAAACCUAUACAAUCACACACACACAACCCUUCAAAACACUAUCAACUCUUUCGUUACCCUCUUAAAGCUUCAAACCCUCACUUCAUAUUUUUGCAUUACUUUUGUUUUAUCGUGGAAUUAAUCUGCAAACCAACUUGACUCAAUGGCACACCCCAGCUCAGCUCUAGCUCCAGCUCCUGUUCCUGGCCAUACCUUCAGUGCAACUUUGGGGCAUCAUUUAGCUCGGCGGCUAGUAGAGAUCGGCGUGAGUGAUGUGUUCUCUGUUCCUGGAGACUUCAACUUGACACUUUUAGACCAUUUGAUAGAUGAACCAGAGCUGAACUUGAUCGGCUGCUGUAACGAGCUGAACGCUGGCUAUGCUGCUGAUGGUUAUGCACGUGCCAAAGGUGUCGGGGCAUGUGUGGUGACUUUUACUGUAGGUGGGCUUAGCGUGCUUAAUGCGAUUGCUGGUGCUUAUAGUGAGAAUUUGCCUGUUAUAUGCAUUGUUGGUGGGCCCAAUUCCAAUGAUUAUGGAACGAGCAGGAUUCUGCAUCACACUAUUGGGUUGCCUGAUUUUACACAAGAGCUCAGGUGCUUUCAGACGGUCACUUGCGUUCAAGUAAGUUAAUAAUAAAUCAAUGCUAUUUAUGCAAAGUUAUUUUCACGUGAAGCAAUUCUGUUCGUCCAUAAUAUUACUCAUUGAUUUGUGUUAGAAAAAUGUAUUUGAGGAAAAUCAUGGAUACUUUUUAUGUUUUAUGAAUAGUUAUUAAAUCCGAACCGGCCUGUCCGGUCGAUCUAGUAGCUGAAUCGGUUUGGGUAAGGCAAAAUACCGGGAUAAAAAAAAAAAACUCGGUUGACCUGCUGGGUUGACCCAUGACCUGGGUGACCCGGCAAAACAUGAUUUUUUUUCCAAAUGUGUUUUUUCUCUUAGCCAAAGAUGCUUUUUAUUAUUAUUAUUAUUAUUUUCUUAGUUGGUUAUUAACUCUUUUCAAAGUAUUAUAUAUAAAUAUUAGAAGAAUGUUUUUUUUUUAAAAUACGAGAUUUAAAGCCUUUUAAUAUAUAUACUCUAUGUUCACAAGAAAAAAAAAAUUCAAUGUGAAAUUUGAAACCUUUUAGUAAAUAUAUUCUAUAUUCACAAUAAAAAAUUUAUGUUUUUUCAAAGUGGAAUAAAAAACCUUUUUGAUUUAAAUACUUCAACUUAAAAAAAUAACAUACUAACAUAAUAUUUUUUCAAUGUUAGAUACAAAACCUUUUGAAAUAAUCUUUUAAACUUCAUUAUUUAUAACAUGUACAACAUAUAUUCACAUUGAUUGUUUUUUAAUUUUUUUUAUAUGAAAUAUUAAAAAUUUAAAUAUUUUUCUGUAAAUUUUUCUAGAUUUAUUCGGGUCAAUCAGUGUAACCCGGGACCCGAUUCCUUGACCGGGUCAACUCCGGGUCGGCUUUGAUAACUAUGGUUUUAUGUAAUGAUUUUUGUGCACAAGGAGCUUCAGUAUAUGUUGUGUGUGUUAUCUCAUAAUGGGGUAAUGGUGGUGGUAACGUGUGACAGGCAGUGGUGAACAACAUGGACGAUGCACAUGAGCAGAUUGACACGGCAAUUUCUACUGCUCUGAAGGAAAGCAAACCAGCUUAUAUUAGUAUAAGCUGUAAUUUGUCUGGAAUCCCUCAUCCAACUUUCUCUAGGGAACCUGUGCCAUUCUUUCUGGGACCUAAGUAAGUCUUUUCUCUCGUUUUUCUAGUCUCCUUGUUUACAAUAGGGAGUAUAUAAUUUGUUUGUUUUUUGAUGACCAUUCUUUUAAUCCCUCAUGAUAAGUUUAAUAUUUAUGACUUUUUGAUACCUUUUCAAUUUGUAAAUAAGAUAAUGGUAGAUUAAAAGCAAUGUGAAUAAUGGUGAUUGGAAUUAACUAAUAUAUAGAUAGCUCUGACGAUCAUGAGCAGAUAGAAGAAAUUGUCCAUAAAAUGCUUGCACAAAAAAGUAAACAGAGUUUUUUUUUUUUCCUCUUAGAAGAAAAGGGAAAGGAAUAAGGUUGUACAAGAACAUGAACAAGACCCUGCGCUGCUAUAAUAUGCUGACAUACGAAAGUGAAAUGAAGUUAACAAAAUGAUUUUGUUUAGGGGUAGAGAAUUGAAGCAGAGUUAAGCAGAUAAAAUGUGUUUUAGAGGAAAAGUUUUUGGUUAGUUGUUGAUAAUAGUGUUAAAUAUGAUCUUCUCUCAAAGUAGAAAAUUAGGAAAAGGGAAAAAAGAAAAAAGAACUGACACAUUAUUAGAUUUUGUAUGUUGUCGUAAUUAGGCUUGGUGGCCAGUGUUAUUGAUAGACAAGGACAAAUUAUAGCUCAAGAGAUUGUGUUUUGACUAGUUUAAAAAUCAUUACUUGUAUGAAAUACUUGUUAUAGAGAUAUUGAGUGGGUGUUUGCUUUUCAUGUGGGACCCAUGUUCAUUAUUACUUGAAACGGUGUUUCAUAAGAUCGUGAGAGCUGCUUCUCACGUCUGCAAGCAGGUGAAUAUAAUUCACCUGGUACUGUUCACUCCAGGUGAACAGUAUCCAUGUGAAUUAGGCACUGUUCACUUGGAGUGAAUUGCACUGUUUACGUAUAUUUUUUUUUCAAGGGUGUUAAUUUUUUUAUUAAGAAAAACACUAGUUUAGAGUGAAUUAAAUUCACUCGUAAUGUGAUGUGAACAAUAUUUUUUUUCUUGAAAAACUAGGAUAGAGUGAAUUAAAUUCACUCGUAUUGUAAUAUUAAUUUUAUACCUGAUAAUAUUUUAUCUACGCUCAAAAAAUUAUGAAAACUGUACUUCUUAUCGGAUGAAUUUUAUAUGUAAUGGAAUUAUAAAUAGUUUAAUGGAAUAAUAUAAAAUAUUUUAUAUAAAAUAUUUGUUAUUUCAUGAUGUAAUAUAAGUAAUUAAUUCUACAAUAUUUAAAUUUAAAACCAUCAAUAUUAAUAUAUAUUAUUUUAAAUUAUUUUAUAACUUCAAUUUUAAAAACAUUCUUAACCAAACACAUUAAACUACUUUUUUUUUUAACCUCAAUUUCAACCAUAGUUUUAACCAAACAGCUACCGCAAUAUCAAACACACUGAAGCAGCUAUACAUUGCUUUUCAUACAGGGUUAGCAACUAUUUAGGAUUAGAAGCAGCUGUUGAAGCAACUGCUGAAUUUCUGAAUAAAGCUGUGAAGCCUGUCAUUAUUGGAGGACCUAAGCUACGAGUAGCAAAGGCGCAGAAGGCCUUUAUAGAAUUAGCAGAUGCCAGUGGAUAUCCCAUAGCUGUCAUGCCUUCUGGGAAAGGGCUAGUGCCAGAGCACCACCCUCACUUCAUAGGGACAUAUUGGGGUGUGGCCAGCACCAGCUUCUGUGCGGAGAUAGUAGAGUCUGCUGAUGCCUAUGUUUUUGUUGGUCCCAUCUUCGAUGAUUUCAGCUCUGUUGGAUAUUCUUUGCUGAUCAAGAAGGAGAAAUCAAUCAUAGUGCAGCCUAAUCGUGUGACUAUUGGCAAUGGCCUUUCGCUUGGAUGGGUUUUUAUGGCUGACUUCUUAAGUGCUUUGGCCAAAAAACUGAAGAAAAACAGCACAGCUUUGGAAAAUUACAGACGCAUCUUUGUCCCUCCUGGCAUGCCUUUGAUGCGUGAGAAAGAUGAGCCUCUUAGGGUCAAUGUACUCUUCAAGCACAUUCAGGUAAGGCUAAAACAGAAUGAUUAUGUCAGAGGCAUAAACAAUUCCUUUGUUUAUUAACAGAUAUGCUUCUUGUGAAUAUUAAAGGUCUAAAUGUAUACCUUGCAUGUUUGUCUUGGCUUCUUUCCUUUAUGCCCUUUUCAUGUAAGAAGGGGGGGGAAAUGCUUGUAAAGGUCGUUUGCGAAUCCACUGUCAUGGAUUGCUAGGUCUCUUAAAUGAGUUUUGAUUGAAGAUUCUGAACAGUAAAUACUUAGGAUUGACAUUCUUGUUUAUUCCUACUUAAUUAUUGUUUGCUUCCGAUUGUUGUAACAAAAUUGAACAUUCAACAGAACAUGUUAGGGGGAGAUUCUGCUGUAAUUGCUGAAACCGGAGACUCAUGGUUUAACUGUCAGAAACUCUGCCUCCCUGAGAACUGUGGGUAAGUUGGAGUCUUUAAUAAGAGCAAUUUAAGCUCCUCUAUGAUUUAAGUUUAAACAGGUUGGUAACUGUUCAUUAACAAUUUUUUGCAGGUAUGAGUCUCAGAUGCUGUAUGGAUCGAUUGGCUGGUCAGUUGGUGCAACUCUUGGUUAUGCUCAGGCAGCUAGAGAUAAGCGUGUGAUUGCCUGUAUAGGUGAUGGGAGUUUCCAGGUGAGUGAUGCCAUUGGAAAUACACUUCAGUAUCUCAUCUGCAAUGAUUGGAAACUCUUCACCAUCAUGUGGCGUUAAGGAAAUAUACACAAAAGGGAAAAAAAAAAGAAAAAAGAAAAUCUACUCUAUUUGAGUGCCAAAACUUCUGUCACUUGUAAACCAGUCAAAGAAAUUGAAAUAGGUUGCAGUUUGUUAUUUAUUGCUAUAACCCAUACAUAGCAAUACCUAAAGAAAAUGUUUCAAAUCCUGAUUGUGGUCUGGUCAUGAUUAUAACUUCUCUAUGCUAAUUUACCAUGUGGUUAACAGUUUUCUCCUUACUCAGGUAACAGCUCAGGAUAUUUCAACUAUGAUCCGAUGUGGGCAAAGGACUAUCAUAUUUCUCAUCAACAAUGGAGGUUAUACGAUUGAAGUACAGAUUCAUGAUGGUCCUUACAAUGUGAUCAAGAACUGGGACUACACUGGCCUUGUUAAUGCCAUCCACAAUGGGGAAGGAAAAUGCUGGACAGCAAAGGUUAGCAUAAAUAGAUUUGAGAUAUUCGUUUUUCCCCUCAAAUCGUUUCUACUUCUGCUCCAAAUUCAGACUGUUCCCCUUCCACUUAUUUUUAAUGUGCAUUUAGCAAAAUUUUCCCUUCGGCUGUUCCCAUAGUCCCAUCGUUUCUCAACUGCAGCAUAGAGUAAUUUCUAUCGACUCUUUGAGUUAUAGCUCUCUAACCACAUGAAAGAACAAGUGAUCCCAUACCGUUAACUUCUUUGAAUUGCAAACCUCAUAGAACAGGGUGGCAAUAUAUACAUUCAACAAACUAAAAGACAAAUUUAUGAAGCUAAUUCGCAAGUAAUGACUGAUCAGAUUGAUUUCUUCAAGAUAAGCUGAUGGAUUAUGCUGUGAAAUACAGGUGCGCACGGAGGAUGAAUUGACAGCAGCAAUAGCGACAGCAACAGGAGAACAAAAGGAUUCUCUCUGUUUCAUAGAGAUUUUCGUGCACAAGGAUGACACUAACAAAGAGCUGCUGGAGUGGGCACCUCGAGUUUCAGCCGCAACCAGCAGACCUCCAAACCCCCAGUAAUUGAGCUAAUGCUAUAGCAUUUCUGCGAGCCUAGACAUCACUUUCUACAUUAUAACUAGAAAUAAGAGGAAAGAUGGGAUUCCUUUCUUUGUAUGAAAUUGUCACUGCUUUCAGCUUCCAAUUCUAAACCAUCCAAAAUGAAGUUUAAACUCUAUAGCACUCUAUCAAUUAUAGAAAG
rnacentral:lncRNA from 1 species